UACGUAGGUGGCAAGCGUUGUCCGGAAUUAUUGGGCGUAAAGCGCGCGCAGGCGGUGCGAGGCGUCGGUGCUGAAAGUCCACCGCUUAACGGUGGGAGGCGCGCCGAUACGCUCGCACUGGAGGGCGGGCGAGGGUGGUGGAAUUGCCGGUGUAGUGGUGAAAUGCGUAGAGAUCGGCAGGAACACCAGUGGCGAAGGCGGCCACCUAGCCCGCACCUGACGCGGAGGCGCGACAGCGUGGGGAGCGAACUGG
rnacentral:rRNA from 1 species